rnacentral:rRNA from 1 species
GGCGUGGAUUAGGCUGCAUGUCGAGCGAGAACGGGGAGCAAUCCCUUAAGUACAGCGGCACACGGGUCAGUAAUGCGUGGAUAACUUGCCCUCGAGACUGGGAUAACAGCGGGAAGCUGCCGCUAAUACCGGAUGGACCUCGUCGGACCGGCAUCAGACUGCGAGUAAAGGUGGGGACCGAAAGGCCUGCUGCUCGAGGAGAGGUUCACGACCUAUCAGCUAGUUGGUGAGGUAACGGCUCACCAUAGGCGACGACGGGUAGCGCGGGCUGAGAGGCUGACCGCCGACACUGGGACUGAGAACUGCCCAGACUCCUACGGGAGGCUGCAGUCGAGAAUCUUCCACAAUGGACGCUAGUCUGAUGGAGCGACGCCGCGUGUGGGAUGAAGGUCUUUGGAUUGUAAACCACUGUCACGCGUUAUGAAUGCGCAGCAGCCAAUACCUGCUGCGUUGACAAAGGCGCGAGAGGAAGUCACGGCUAACUCUGUGCCAGCAGCCGCGGUAAUACAGAGGUGGCAAGCGUGUGCUCGGUAUCACUG